GACGAACGCUGGCGGCGUGCCUAAUACAUGCAAGUUGAGCGAUGAAGAUUGGUGCUUGCACCAAUUUGAAGAGCAGCGAACGGGUGAGUAACGCGUGGGGAAUCUGCCUUUGAGCGGGGGACAACAUUUGGAAACGAAUGCUAAUACUGCAUAACAACUUUAAACAUAAGUUUUAAGUUUGAAAGAUGCAAUUGCAUCACUCAAAGAUGAUCCCGCGUUGUAUUAGCUAGUUGGUGAGGUAAAGGCUCACCAAGGCGAUGAUACAUAGCCGACCUGAGAGGGUGUUCGGCCACAUUGGGACUGAGACACGGCCCAAACUCCUACGGGAGGCAGCAGUAGGGAAUCUUCGGCAAUGGACGAAAGUCUGACCGAGCAACGCCGCGUGAGUGAAGAAGGUUUUCGGAUCGUAAAACUCUGUUGGUAGAGAAGAACGUUGGUGAGAGUGGAAAGCUCAUCAAGUGACGGUAACUACCCAGAAAGGGACGGCUAACUACGUG
rnacentral:rRNA from 1 species